AUCAUUACAGGAUCGUUCGAAAGACGUCUCCAUAAACCAUUGUGAACUUACCUAUUUGUCGUGCUUCGGUAGGCAGACUUGCAUUCGUGUAAGCCUCCUAGGCCUUAACGGGUGCCUACCGAAGUGCAACCUUUUUCAAACUAUGAUAUCUUUGUGGAAUCUCUGAAAAAUAAACAAACCAAUAACAACUUUCAACAAUGGAUCUCUUGGCUCUGGCAUCGAUGAAGAACGCAGCGAAAUGCGAUAAGUAAUGCGAAUUGCAGAUCUCAGUGAGUCAUCGAAUCUUUGAACGCACAUUGCGCCCUCUAGUAUCCUGGAGGGCAUGCCUGUUCGAGCGUCACUACAACACUCAAGCUCUGCUUGGCGUUGGGGUUAUACGGCGGGAGUUUAUCUCUGCCGUAUGCCCUCAAAAUCAGUUGGCGGGACCGCGAGGAAACCCGGACGAAGUAGAANUUACAGCGUCAANGGAUACCGAGCUGGCCUCUAGCCAUAAAACUCAUUUUUAUAACCAGUGUUGACCUCGGAUCAGGUAGGAAUACCCGCUGAACUUAAGCAUAUCAAUAAGCGGAGGAAAAGAAACCAACAGGGAUUGCCUUAGUAACGGCGAGUGAAGCGGCAACAGCUCAGAUUUGAAAUCUGGCCCUAGGNCCGAGUUGUAAUCUGUAGAGGAUGCUUUUGGUUAGGUGCCUUCCGAGUUCCCUGGAACGGGACGCCAUAGAGGGUGAGAGCCCCGUACUGUUGGACACCGCGCCUUUGUAAAGCUCCUUCGACGAGUCGAGUAGUUUGGGAAUGCUGCUCUAAAUGGGAGGUAAAUUCCUUCUAAAGCUAAAUACCGGCCAGAGACCGAUAGCGCACAAGUAGAGUGAUCGAAAGAUGAAAAGCACCUUGAAAAGAGGGUUAAAUAGCACGUGAAAUUGUUGAAAGGGAAGCGCUCGUGACCAGGCACGCGCCGAGGAGAUCAUCUAGCGUUCUCGCUGGUGCACUCUCGUCGGCGUGGGCCAGCGUCGGUUCUCUUGGGGGGAUAAAAGUAGUAGGAACGUGACUCCUCCGGGAGUGUUAUAGCCUAUUGCCCAAUGCCCCCGAGGGGA
rnacentral:rRNA from 1 species